rnacentral:rRNA from 1 species
UGGGGAAUAUUGCACAAUGGGGGAAACCCUGAUGCAGCGACGCCGCGUGAACGAAGAAGGUAUUCGUAUCGUAAAGUUCUGUCCUAUGGGAAGAUAAUGACAUUACCAUAGAAGAACGCUCCGGCUAAAUACGUGCCAGCAGCCGCUGUAAUACGUAUGGAGCGAGCGUUGCCCGGAAUUAUUUGGCGUAAAGGGUACGCAGGCGGUUUAAUAAGUCGAAUGUUAAAGAUCGGGGCUCAACCCCGCAAAGAAUUGGAAACUGAUAAACUUGAGUAGUGGAGAGGAAAGUGGAAUUGCUAGUGUAGUGGUGAAAUACAUAGAUAUUAGGAGGAAUACCAGUAGCGAAGGCGACUUUCUGGACACAAACUAAAGCUGAGGUACGAAAGCGUGGGGAGCAAACAAG